GGUAAUCUCAUUUUUAAUUCAUUUUCAAUUUGAUUUACAUGCUUAAUGUUUUAGAACCGGUUUUUGUGCGUGAAUUUGUUUUCCAUAUUCUUAUUCAGGUUCUUGGAUUAGCUGUUAACAGGAAUCCAAAGUUCACCAAUCUUGUUGAGGUUUAUUACUGCUGCUGAUGUGAAAACUCAUGGUGAUCGUUACUUAUUGAUUGCUAAAAGGGGAGGCCUAAAACAUUAUAGGGAUAACAAAUGUUGUCAUUGAACCGUAUAUUCUGAAUGCUACUCUUGUUGUUACAAAACUGAAUCAAAAAUCAUUCUGAAAGAUUCUAGGGUAUAGAUGUGUUAGCAGGAUUAGAAGCAGUUAUCAGUCAUCUAGUGGUUAAGGAAUUCCAGAUUCCUUGUGCACAUGCUCCUGCAAUGCUGCCACAACCUUUGACCAGAGCUCUUUGUCCCAAAUCAGCU